rnacentral:rRNA from 1 species
GUGAACGCUAGCGGUGCGCCUAACACAUGCAAGUCGCGCGAGGCUUCGAGCCGAGCGGCGAACGGCUGCGUAACACGUUGGUAUCUACCCAGUACUCAGGGAUAACCUGCCGAAAGGCGGGCUAAUACCGGAUGGUCCCGUGAGGGUAAAGCUACGGCGGUACUGGAGGAGCCUGCGGCCUAUCAGAUAGUUGGUGGGGUAACGGCCUACCAAGUCGAUGACGGGUAGCUGGUCUGAGAGGACGACCAGCCAGAAUGGAACUGCGACACGGUCCAUACUCCUACGGGAGGCAGCAGUGAGGAAUCUUCCACAAUGGGCGAAAGCCUGAUGGAGCGACACCGCGUGAAGGAUGACACCCUUUUGGGCGUAAACUUCUGUUCUGAGGGACGAAAUUUUUGACGGUACCUCAGGAGAAAGCACCGGCUAAUUCUGU